rnacentral:rRNA from 1 species
GGAAACAGGUGCUAAUACCGGAUAAUAAAGCAGAUCGCAUGAUCAGCUUUUGAAAGGCGGCGUAAGCUGUCGCUAAGGGAUGGCCCCGCGGUGCAUUAGCUAGUUGGUAAGGUAACGGCUUACCAAGGCAACGAUGCAUAGCCGAGUUGAGAGACUGAUCGGCCACAUUGGGACUGAGACACGGCCCAAACUCCUACGGGAGGCAGCAGUAGGGAAUCUUCCACAAUGGACGCAAGUCUGAUGGAGCAACGCCGCGUGAGUGAAGAAGGUUUUCGGAUCGUAAAGCUCUGUUGUUGGUGAAGAAGGAUAGAGGUAGUAACUGGCCUUUAUUUGACGGUAAUCAACCAGAAAGUCACGGCUAACUACGUGCCAGCAGCCGCGGUAAUACGAU